AUGAACGCUAGCGACAGGCCUAACACAUGCAAGUCAGGGGCAGCGCGGAUCAAGCUUGCUUGAUUUGGCGGCGACCGGCGCACGGGUGCGUAACAGGUGUGCAAUCUGUCCAUAAUCGGGGAAUAGCCCAGCGAAAGUUGGAUUAAUGCUCCAUGUGAGUUUUAGAGGCAUCUCUUUAAUUUUGAUUAAAGGAUUUCCGGUUACAGAUGAGCAUGCGUAUCAUUAGCUAGUUGGUAGAGUAACGGCCUACCAAGGCAACGAUGAUUAGGGGUUCUGAGAGGAAGAUCCCCCACACUGGUACUGAGACACGGACCAGACUCCUACGGGAGGCAGCAGUGAGGAAUAUUGGUCAAUGGGCGAAAGCCUGAACCAGCCAAGUCGCGUGAAGGAUGACGGCCCUUAGGGUUGUAAACUUCUUUUAUUUGAGAGUAAAAGAUCCUACGUGUAGGAUUUUGCAAGUAUCAAAAGAAUAAGCAUCGGCUAAUUCCGUG
rnacentral:rRNA from 1 species